rnacentral:lncRNA from 1 species
AAGACAAACUAGGUCCAAAUGCUUGACCUGCUGCACAAGGCCUGGGAAGAGCCUGGGAAGAGCCUGGGAAGAGCCUGGGAAGAGCCUGGGAAGAGCUGAGCAGCUGAGUGGCCGGGCCAGGGUGAGGUUCUGUACCUUCUCUCUGCUCCUUUCACCCUCCUGCUCAGCCACCUCAGUUGAGACUGGCUCCCAGCGGAGCAUGCAACUUCUUCCUGUCAAAACUAGGCCUAGAAAGAAGGCCUGGUAAAGCCAUCCAUGCUGAGUCACCAUGCAUCUCCGGCACUGCAGGGAUGACCUUUGAUGAGAACAUCAAACAUCUGAAGGUGAAGCUCUUCAUGAAUGUGAGAGCCAGCCAAGCGGCCGUCCUGGAUCCCCAGGCCCAGUGACGGGCCCUGUUCUGUGGAGUAACGCGGAACAGAAAGAUGCCUGCAUGUCCUGUCUUUCCAUCAAGUUGGAGGACCUUGUGAAUUCCUGAGAAAG